rnacentral:rRNA from 1 species
GAGAAACAAAAAGCUGUCUCGUGGAGAGCGCUGGGGGGAGCCAUGGGGGAGUGCGUAUGCUGCGGGCCAGCCAGCGCUUAGUUGCGCGGCGCCCGUGGGUGCUCUGCCGGGAGCCCUCUGCUAAGGAGCUCUGCAUGUAGAACACACACACAGUGGAGACACGUAUGCACGUUUUUCUGGGUGCAAUAUGGUGCUUUGGGCUGGCGACGGCCCAGAGUGCAGCACGCAAAACACAAACAAAAGUGGAGUGUAGGAAACAGUCAGCAAAGAGACACGAGUUCUGGGGCAGUGCGCGAGCGCUGUGGCAGGACGAGUGAUAUACGAAUCUUCA